UACGGGGGGAGCAAGCGUUGUUCGGAAUUACUGGGCGUAAAGGGCUCGUAGGCGGCCAACUAAGUCCGACGUGAAAUCCCUCGGCUUAACCGGGGAACUGCGUCUGAUACUGGAUGGCUUGAGUGUGGGAGAGGGAUGCGGAAUUCCAGGUGUAGCGGUGAAAUGCGUAGAUAUCAGGAGGAACACCGAUGGCGAAGGCAGGUCUCUGGGCUGACACUGACGCUCAUGCACGAAAGCGUGGGGAGCAAACAGG
rnacentral:rRNA from 1 species